UACGAAGGGGGCUAGCGUUGUUCGGAUUUACUGGGCGUAAAGCGCGCGUAGGCGGGUCGUUAAGUCGGGGGUGAAAUCCUGGAGCUCAACUCCAGAACUGCCUUCGAUACUGGCGAUCUUGAGUCCGGGAGAGGUGAGUGGAACUCCGAGUGUAGAGGUGAAAUUCGUAGAUAUUCGGAAGAACACCAGUGGCGAAGGCGGCUCACUGGCCCGGUACUGACGCUGAGGUGCGAAAGCGUGGGGAGCAAACAGG
rnacentral:rRNA from 1 species